AGCCAGACUCCUACGGGAGGCAGCAGUGGGGAAUAUUGCACAAUGGGGGGAACCCUGAUGCAGCGAUGCCGCGUGGAGGAAGAAGGUUUUCGGAUUGUAAACUCCUUUUAUCAGGGACGAUAAUGACGGUACCUGAAGAAAAAGCUCCGGCUAACUACGUGCCAGCAGCCGCGGUAAUACGGAGGAUGCGAGCGUUAUCCGGAUUUAUUGGGUUUAAAGGGUGCGUAGGCGGGAUGCCAAGUCAGCGGUAAAAAUGCGGUGCUCAACGCCGUCGAGUCGUUGAAACUGGCGUUCUUGAGUGGGCGAGAAGUAUGCGGAAUGCGUGGUGUAGCGGUGAAAUGCAUAGAUAUCACGCAGAACUCCGAUUGCGAAGGCAGCAUACCGGCGCCCUACUGACGCUGAGGCACGAAAGCGUGGGUAUCGAACAGGAUUAGAUACCCGAGUA
rnacentral:rRNA from 1 species